GAAUUUUUGGCAAUGGGGGCAACCCUGACCAAGCAACGCCGCGUGGAUGAUGUAGUCUCUUGGGACGUAAAAUCCUUUCGACGGGGAAGAAAACCGCAAGGUUUGACGGUACCCGUAGAAGAAGCCCCGGCUAACUCCGUGCCAGCAGCCGCGGUAAUACGGGGGGGGCAAGCGUUGUGCGGAAUUACUGGGCGUAAAGGGCGCGUAGGCGGUUUGCUAAGUUGGAUGUGAAAACUCUGGGCUUAACCCAGAGCCUGCAUCCAAAACUGGCAGGCUGGAGUUUUGGAGGGGGAAGCGGAAUUCCUGGUGUAGCAGUGAAAUGCGUAGAUAUCAGGAGGAACACCGGUGGCGAAGGCGGCUUCCUGGACAAAAACUGACGCUGAGGCGCGAAAGCUAGGGGAGCAAACAGG
rnacentral:rRNA from 1 species